GGGUCAGUAGGUUGGUCGUGCCACCGGUACGUACUGGUCUCACUGAUUCCUCCUUCCUGAAGAACCGUAAUGCCAUUAAUUUGGUGUUGCGGGGAAACAGGUCUGUUACUUUGAAAAAAUUAGAGUGUUUAAAGCAAGCUAACGCUUGAAUACAUUAGCAUGGAAUAAUGAAAUAGGACGAUCGAUCCUAUUUUGUUGGUUUCUAGGAUUGACGUA
rnacentral:rRNA from 1 species